CUUCCGCUCUUAAGACGGGGAUCAAAGAGAGGUCAAACCCAAAAGAGAUCGCGUGGAUGCCCUGCCUGGGGUUGAAGCGUUAAAUCUAAUCAGGCUAGUUUGUUAGUGGCGUGUCUGUCCGCAGCUGGCAAGCGAAUGUAAAGACUGACUAAGCAUGUAGUGCCGAGGAUGUAGGAAUUUCGGACGCGGGUUCAACUCCCGCCAGCUCCACCA
rnacentral:tmRNA from 2 species